rnacentral:rRNA from 1 species
UACGGAGGAUGCAAGCGUUAUCCGGAAUGAUUGGGCGUAAAGCGUCCGCAGGUGGCUGUGUAAGUCUGCUGUUAAAGAGUCUAGCUCAACUAGAUAAGAGCAGUGGAAACUACACGGCUAGAGUACGUUCGGGGCAGAGGGAAUUCCUGGUGUAGCGGUGAAAUGCGUAGAGAUCAGGAAGAACACCGGUGGCGAAGGCGCUCUGCUAGGCCGUAACUGACACUGAGGGACGAAAGCGUGGGGAGCAAACAGG